rnacentral:rRNA from 1 species
UACGAAGGGGGGCGAGCGUUGUUCGGAAUUACUGGGCGUAAAGCGUGCGCAGGCGGUUUUGUAAGUUUGUCGUGAAAGCCCCGGGCUCAACCUGGGAAUUGCGAUGAAGACUGCAAGGCUUGAAUCUGGCAGAGGGGGGUAGAAUUCCACGUGUAGCAGUGAAAUGCGUUAGAGAUGUGGAGGAACACCGAUGGCGAAGGCAGCCCCCUGGGUCAAGAUUGACGCUCAUGCACGAAAGCGUGGGGGAGCAAACAGG